rnacentral:rRNA from 1 species
UACGUAGGGGGCAAGCGUUGUCCGGAUUUAUUGGGCGUAAAGAGCGUGUAGGCGGCCAGACAGGUCUGCUGUGAAAACUCGAGGCUCAACCUCGAGACGCCGGUGGAAACCGUUUGGCUAGAGUCCGGAAGAGGAGAGUGGAAUUCCUGGUGUAGCGGUGAAAUGCGCAGAUAUCAGGAGGAACACCGGUGGCGAAGGCGGUUCUCUGGGCAUGUCCUGACGCUGAGGAGCGAAAGUGUGGGGAGCGAACAGG